rnacentral:rRNA from 1 species
CCUACGGGAGUCAGCAGUGGGGGAUAUUGCACAAUGGGGGAAACCCUGAUGCAGCGACGCCGCGUGGGUGAAGAAGCGCCUCGGCGCGUAAAGCCCUGUCAGCAGGGAAGAAAAUGACGGUACCUGAAGAAGAAGCCCCGGCUAACUACGUGCCAGCAGCCGCGGUAAUACGUAGGGGGCAAGCGUUAUCCGGAUUUACUGGGUGUAAAGGGGGCGCAGACGGCGAUGCAAGCCAGGAGGGAAAGCCCGGGGCCCAACCCAGGGACUGCUCUUGGAACUGCGUGGCUAGAGUGCAGGAGGGGCAGGCGGAAUUCCUGGUGUAGCGGUGAAAUGCGUAGAUAUCAGGAGGAACACCGGUGGCGAAGGCGGCCUGCUGGACUGCAACUGACGUUGAGGCCCGAAAGCGUGGGGAGCAAACAGGAUUAGAUACCCCAGUAGUC